rnacentral:rRNA from 1 species
AUGUUGGGUGUGUGGUGGACCUUUUUCCGUGUUGUUGGGCUUUCAGGCUUGCGGGUCUGCAAUGGAUUUCACUAUUCGAUCCGCAAGAGACAUGCGUUUUUGAAUUUUCUAUUCAGUUAUGGGGCGGCGUCCUUUGCUCUAUCUGCAGAAGGGGUUGGUGGGGGUAGGCCGAGGCGGGGCGAAGACGGCAGAAGGAAGGCGGGGGCGUCCUCGCCGGCGUUUAGCAACGGAGAUGGCGCGCGGCGAGUCCUCCGCGUGGAGAGCUUAGGAUCUCGGCGGAGCUGCCCCGCCGUGUUCGCCACCAGCAAGCUCCAAUCGUUGGGGGCGACAGCAUUCGCCGGCGCCGUCGCGGCGCAAGUUUGUCGUCACUGUCGCCGGUCACAGACCUCCAAUAGCCAGGGGGGUGGUUCAGUUUUUUGUGGAUUUCGGCCAGGAAGGUGUGCAGAUUAUGCAGGUUAUAGACCUUCCAGUGUUGGCUAUGACGACAGCUACGAUCCUGAUAAUGAAAUGUCAAACAACGACAGUCUGGAGGAGAGUAGCACAUCCAGUGAUGAUGAAUCUGUGUCCAGGAGGAAGAAGAUGUUAGAGGAUGCUCUAUUCGGCUUUUUCAAGAAGGAGAAUAAAAGGCUAAAAGCAACAGGGCUAGGAAGGGAUGUGUACAGUGUGUAUGCUACCAAGUACUUCGCUGAGAUACUCAAGCGUAUGGCUAUUGGGCGGAAGGAUGUGAUCUCAAAAUACGGGUUUGAGCAUCUCCUGAAGUUUGAGAAGACUGAACUCCCUUCUCACUUCACCAGAUGGAUUGUUGGUUGCGUAGACACAAUAUCUUCCCAAAUCAUUAUUGAUGAUCAGAAGAUCAUCUCUCUUUCUAAGGAGUCUGUCCAUCUUGUGUUGGGUCUGCCGAACAGCGGCAUUAUAGCGAUGCCCAAUAAGGAGAGAGGGAGGAGUUUCAUUAUGUCUAGGUUCAAUCUUUCAGAAAUUCCAAAUGUCACUUUCUUUGGAAAUUUGCUCACAUCAUCAGAAGAUCUUAGUGAUGAAGACAUCUUCAUAUGUUUCACGGUGAUUGUUAUGUCAUGCUUUUUAUUCCCUUCUGCAAAUGAUCAUAUACACACGGACUUCCUAUUCCUUCUGGAGGAUCCUACUAUCACAAGGGGAUUCGACAUGUGUCUUCUUGUCUACGAAUGGAUUUUGGCCGGCAUCAACCAAUAUGUGUUGUUUGGUAGGGAAACCGGCAGAAAACCAAAAGCGUUUGAUUUCUGCAUAUAUUGCUUGGCUGUGUUGUAUUUGGACAAGCUUGACUUUGGUAUAAGGGUGGUCGAGCAAGGCGUCCCGCGGAUUCUUGCAUGGAAGGGUAAUUUGAUUAAACAUUUCUCGGAACUUGACCGGAAGAAGCGCAACUUAUUUGGAAGGAGACCGUUCAAAAAGGAGCAUGUGUUUGCAACUGAAAUUGGUGCUCCUCAUGGCAUUAUUCAACAAGGAUCAAUAUCAGUAUCUUUCAAAGAGGAGAUGAUGUCAUCUUAUGCUAAUAUUCUACAUACGCAGUGUUGUUCUUUUUCUGUUAUUCCUAUUUUUGUUCUUUGUCAGAUCAUUCAGGGCAUCAUUGACAGCGCAGACUGCGACAACAUAAAGGAGUCUGGUUUGCAAAAUGUUCAGGAAGCAAUAACAUCAAAUGUGUUGAAGUUUCUAUCUGGAUCCAGACUAUCAUCUCUUUUCGUCGUUAGUGGUCGGGACACCUCUUCAAAACUAGGACCAGUAGCGAAACAAAACAUGGGCAUAAUGAGCAAGGAUGAUAGAACUCAACAGAAAAGUUCACACGAGUAUGGUGAAUGCAGCAAAGUGAAUGAGAACCUCAAGCACGUUAAGAGCAGCAUCAACCGCACAACUGUCAAGAUCAAUGAAAACAUAGUUUCAUCAUUUGCACCUACUAAGCCUUCAGUCAUCGGAACGAGGAACAACAAGCUUCCAUUGCAACCUAUUGAUGAGAACAGUUUGUCGGUAGUUCAUAAGAGCUCACACGAUGCUUUAGCAACCCCAGAUUGUGUGAUUACUAAAAUUGUUGAACACAGCAAUGAAAAAGUGCCUGAAGUGGGAGUAGUGAAGAAGGUCAGGGCUAGAAUGUUCAACACAAUGCAUCAUGAGCAGGAGUUUUCUUUGAUUAACACAUUCCCACCAACUAAGAGGAAGGCAGACAUUGUUGAUAUCAGUCCAACAAGUUUUGGUGUCAGGCAAAUCGAAUUAGCUAAGAAUGCAGAUCAUGUAUACAACAAUCUGAUCAGACCAAUUGCGAAACGUCAACGCCAAUCUACAGUAGGGGUAGAAGAGGUUGUUGAUGUGCCAGACGACACUGAUAAUCAUAUCAUUAUCGAUGAACUUGCGCCAGACACCAUUGUCAAUCAAGGUCGACAUGAUGAUUUGAUCAUUUUGCGACCAAAAAGUCUCCUGGAACUCCCAAUCAAGGAAAACGAAAGGUUCCCUGUGUCAAACGAAGAGUGCAUGCAUUACAGCUCAAUAAUUGAACUUGCAUAUACAAAAAGAAUUCAGAGGAAGUAUGCGUUGACGUACUCGAUGGUUCAUUGCAAUUAUGUAUCACUUGGACAAAGCCUUAUGCCAACCGGGCACGUCGACAACUUUUUGAUCCCUUGCUUUUGUCGGAAGUUCUUCGAGGACCGUCAUCCCUCAAUCUCUGGAAGGCACCAUUUCUUCCCGAAUAUUGGUGAGAACAUACUGAACUACCAAGACGAUAAACUAAGAUCAAUUGCCACUUCGUUUCUGGGGGCAGCAUCAGCAAGUAGGGGUAAACGUCUAGAUUUGUCAAAUACGCUGUUCUUCCCCACAUGUCUCGACAACCAUUGGAUAGUGUUUGCUGUCGAUUUCAAGUGGAAACUUUUUGCUUUCUUGGAUUCUUUUUAUGACAAGGACUCGUAUCUUCACAAGACUAUCAGAGAGAAAUUUAUCAAGAACUUCAUCAAGUUGUGGGAAAUCAUUUUCCAAACAGACCAGCAUAAUUUCAAGAUUUUCAAAAGGAUGUACCCUCAUGUGCCCAAACAGACUAAUGGAAAUGAUUGUGGAGUGUUUGCAACAAAGAUAAUGGAGAUAUGGGCACCACCCUUGGAUCUGCGCAAGAUUUUCUCACAUGACGACAUCCAACACAUAAGAAUUCAGUACAUGAACCAACUUUUCUUUUGGAAGAAAAACACUGCAGACAAGAGCCUUGUCACUGGUUUCAACUUACAGGGUGACUUCGUCAGCAAUCCUCCAUAA